rnacentral:lncRNA from 1 species
CCAGGGAAGACGCACAACGUGUGCAUGUGUGUGUCCGGUCUCCUGCUACCAACAGCACACGCCUCCCAGCUGGAAGCGCUUAUAGAGGAAGCGUUUGCUGCUAAAAGUACAGCAAAAAUUGGUGCUGCUCUUCUUGGAGAAAAAAAUUCAAAGUCUUUGAUGAACAGGCUGGACAAAAUAACUAGUAAGGAACUUGACAAAAAUGAAUUCCACAACAUCUUCCUGCUUUUGAGAGCCCUCGACACUCUGUGCGAAAGUGACGAAGACCUCAUCCGCUCCUUUGUUCAGCAAGGCCUCGUGAUGAAGAUAGGUGUCCUUUCUUUUCUACCGCAUCUCACAUGCGCUCAUCACAAAGAUGCUUGUGCGUUAUGUCAUGCACUUAAUACUUUUACUGUACCUUUGCUUUUGCGGAAUGCACAUGCUGGUGUGGUUCGAAAGAGCCACGGAGUUUCUAAAGAUGGAGGCUUUGAGGUACUCUAAAGGUCUACCAAACCUGAUCGAGGAGUUCUAUGAUAUUUCUAUGAGUAUAUGCCGGACCAGUUCUGAAGGUGAAUUUCCCCCACUCGCUUCUCUGCUGAUUUCUUCAGCAUAUGAUAAGCGUGGAAAUGUUUCUUUAAUAGCUUUGUGAUUAGAAGUCAUAGAAUAAUAGAAAAACCUUUAUGCAGCUACGCC